rnacentral:rRNA from 1 species
AGCGAACGCUGGCGGCAGGCCUAACACAUGCAAGUCGAGCGCCCCGCAAGGGGAGCGGCAGACGGGAGAGUAACACGUGGGAACGUACCCUUCAGUUCAGAACAACCAAGGGAAACUUUGGCUAAUACCGAAUACGUCCGUAAGGAGAAAGAUUUAUCGCUGAAGGAUCGGCCCGCGUCUGAUUAGCUAGUUGGUGGGGUAAUGGCCCACCAAGGCGACGAUCAGUAGCUGGUCUGAGAGGAUGAUCAGCCUCACUGGGACUGAGACACGGCCCAGACUCCUACGGGAGGCAGCAGUGGGGAAUAUUGGACAAUGGGCGCAAGCCUGAUCCAGCCAUGCCGCGUGGAUGAUGAAGGCCCUAGGGUUGUAAAGUCCUUUCGGCGGGGAAGAUAAUGACGGUACCCGCAGAAGAAGCCCCGGCUAACUUCGUGCCAGCCGCCGCUGUAACAC